UGUGUUUCAGUUAUAUUCUAAUACUGGUAUCAGAGCCUCCUGCACAGAUUUUAAUAUACUCAAGAGAUGGUAAAGUCGCAAAAGUAUUGGUGAUGCAUUUCCUCCAGAAAAAAGUUUUCGCAAAAUUUUCAAAAUUAAAUUUCAUUGAAUUGAAACGCAAAUUUAGAACAUAUAUGUUUGCUCCGCCCAGGUCUUCGUAAAUCGGGUGGAGCACGAACAGGAUAACCUUUCCUUCGUAUCCGCCUCGGAAAAUAUGACUAGGGUAGGACAGGGCAACCGGGCAAAGGUAUGAGUAAAUAUCUUCUUUGAAUUUAUUAUUCUAUAUGAUCGCUAUUACAUGAAUUUUAUCAAAUCGAUCUUUUUUAAAUAAAAUAUAUAGUUUAUCACAACAAGAAAGCGUAUCUAAUAUAAGUCCAAAAACGGCCACUACAUCUUGGUCAUCUAAAUUUCUACAAAUAUUAC
rnacentral:lncRNA from 1 species